UUAAUAUCUAAUUAAUCAGGUUCCCCGGUUAUGUCGGGGGUGAAAAGGGAACCGGGUGUGAAUCCCGGACGGUCCGGCCACUGUAAGUGGGGAGCGGUUCCCCAAAUGCCACUGGGUCUUGUGCCUGGGAAGGCGGGGAAUAUGCUGUGAACCACAAGUCAGGAGACCUGCCUGUUUGAUUUGGGUACC
rnacentral:ncRNA from 2 species